CACGUAGGGCGCAAGCGUUGUCCGGAAUUAUUGGGCGUAAAGCGCUCGCAGGUGGUCCGUCGCGUCGUGCGUGAAAGCCCCCGGCUCAACUGGGGAGUGUCGUGCGAUACGGGCGGACUGGAGGCCAGUAGGGGGAUGCGGAAUUCCGGGUGUAGUGGUGGAAUGCGUAGAGAUCCGGAGGAACACCAGCGGCGAAGGCGGCAUCCUGGACUGGUCCUGACACUCAUGAGCGAAAGCGUGGGGAGCGAUCCGG
rnacentral:rRNA from 1 species